rnacentral:rRNA from 1 species
UUCCUACGGGGGGCAGCAGUGGGGAAUAUUGGGCAAUGGGCGCAAGCCUGACCCAGCAACGCCGCGUGAAGGAAGAAGGCUUUCGGGUUGUAAACUUCUUUUCUCAGGGACGAAGCAAGUGACGGUACCUGAGGAAUAAGCCACGGCUAACUACGUGCCAGCAGCCGCGGUAAUACGUAGGGAGCGAGCGUUGUCCGGAUUUACUGGGUGUAAAGGGUGCGCAGGCGGCUCUGCAAGUCAGGCGUGAAAGCUAGGGGCUCAACCCCUAAACUGCGCUUGAAACUGUGGAGCUUGAGUGAAGUAGA